AGAGUUUGAUCCUGGCUCAGAUUGAACGCUGGCGGUAUGCUUAACACAUGCAAGUCGAACGGCAGCAUGCUAUUUUUUCGGAAAUAGUGAUGGCGAGUGGCGGACGGGUGAGUAACACGUAGGUAUCUACCUAGAAGAGGGGGACAACCCGGGGAAACUCGGGCUAAUACCGCAUAAUCUCUACGGAGGAAAGUUGGGGACCUUAGGGCCUGACGCUUUUAGAUGAGCCUGCGGCAGAUUAGCUUGUUGGUGGGGUAAAGGCCUACCAAGGCGACCAUCUCGUAGGAGUCUGAGAGGAUGAUCAGCCACACUGGGACUGAGACACGGCCCAGACUCCUACGGGAGGCAGCAGUGGGGAAUAUUGGACAAUGGGCGAAAGCCUGAUCCAGCAAUGCCGCGUGUGUGAAGAAGGCCUUCGGGUUGUAAAGCACUUUCAGUAGGGAAGAAAAGUUAUAGGCUAAUAACCUAUAGCCCUGACGUUACCUACAGAAGAAGCACUGGCUAACUCUGUGCCAGCAGCCGCGGUAAUACAGAGAGUGCGAGCGUUAAUCGGAAUCACUGGGCGUAAAGCGCGCGUAGGUGGAUUCUUAAGUCGAAUGUGAAAGCCCCGGGCUCAACCUGGGAACUGCAUUCGAUACUGGGUUUCUAGAGUAUGNUAGAGGGAAGUGGAAUUUCCGGUGUAGCGGUGAAAUGCGUAGAUAUCGGAAGGAACACCAGUGGCGAAGGCGACUUCCUGGACCAAUACUGACACUGAGACGCGAAAGCGUGGGGAGCAAACAGGAUUAGAGACCCUGGUAGUCCACGCCGUCAACGAUGAGAACUAGCUGUUGGGACCU
rnacentral:rRNA from 1 species